rnacentral:rRNA from 1 species
GAGCGGUAAGGCCCUUCGGGGUACACGAGCGGCGAACGGGUGAGUAACACGUGAGUAAUCUGCCCUCCACUUCGGGAUAAGCCUCGGAAACGGGGUCUAAUACCGGAUAUGACCACUUCAUGCAUGUGAUGGUGGUGGAAAGUUUUUCGGUGGGGGAUGUGCUCGCGGCCUAUCAGCUUGUUGGUGGGGUAAUGGCCUACCAAGGCUUCGACGGGUAGCCGGCCUGAGAGGGUGACCGGCCACACUGGGACUGAGACACGGCCCAGACUCCUACGGGAGGCAGCAGUGGGGAAUAUUGGACAAUGGGCGGAAGCCUGAUCCAGCAACGCCGCGUGAGGGAUGACGGCCUUCGGGUUGUAAACCUCUUUCAGUGGGGACGAAGCGCAAGUGACGGUACCCACAGAAGAAGCACCGGCCAACUACGUGCCAGCAGCCGCGGUAAUACGUAGGGUGCGAGCGUUGUCCGGAAUUAUUGGGCGUAAAGGGCUCGUAGGCGGUUUGUCGCGUCGGGAGUGAAAACACUGGGCUUAACUCAGUGCUUGCUUCCGAUACGGGCAGACUAGAGGUAUUCAGGGGAGAACGGAAUUCCUGGUGUAGCGGUGAAAUGCGCAGAUAUCAGGAGGAACACCGGUGGCGAAGGCGGUUCUCUGGGAAUUACCUGACGCUGAGGAGCGAAAGUGUGGGGAGCGAACAGGAUUAGAUACCCUGGUAGUCCACACCGUAAACGUUGGGCGCUAGGUGUGGGGUCCAUUCCACGGAUUCCGUGCCGCAGCUAACGCAUUAAGCGCCCCGCCUGGGGAGUACGGCCGCAGGCUAAAACUCAAAGGAAUUUGACGGGGGCCCGCACAAGCGGCGGAGCAUGCGGAUUAAUUCGAUGCAACGCGAAGAACCUUUACCUGGGUUUGACAUACGCCGGGAAGCCGUAGAGAUACGCCCCUUUUAGUCGGUGUA